GACGAACGCUGGCGGCGUGCUUAACACAUGCAAGUCGAGCGAGAAACUUCGGUUUCUAGCGGCGGACGGGUGAGUAACACGUGGGCAACCUGCCUCACAAUGGGGGAUAGCCUUCCGAAAGGAAGAUUAAUACCGCAUAACACAAAGGAAACGCAUGUUUCUUUUGCCAAAGAAUUUCGUUGUGAGAUGGGCCCGCGGCGCAUUAGCUUGUUGGUGAGGUAACGGCUCACCAAGGCGACGAUGCGUAGCCGACCUGAGAGGGUGAUCGGCCACAUUGGAACUGAGACACGGUCCAGACUCCUACGGGAGGCAGCAGUGGGGAAUAUUGCACAAUGGAGGAAACUCUGAUGCAGCAACGCCGCGUGAGUGAUGAAGGUCUUCGGAUUGUAAAGCUCUGUCUUCUGGGACGAUAAUGACGGUACCAGAGGAGGAAGCCACGGCUAACUACGUGCCAGCAGCCGCCGUAA
rnacentral:rRNA from 1 species